GCGCGGUGUUUCCCGCCGGAAGACUGACUACGCCCACACAGACAAACAGCACAGGGAUGAAACGACAGAAGUGCAGUGUAAGUGUAUGAAAAUGACCGGGAAAUGGAUAUGGACAGAGGAGAGUGCUGCAAUGGGAGAAUGUCCAUGUGCUAUCAGGAUCGCGUGUGCACCCGCUACUCCGAUAGCGGCAAUGGCAGGGAGGAACGGUACGGAGGAUGAAUGAAAUUUUGCAUUUCCUACAGGCUGUUAGGGAAAGCUGUAAUUGCAGGUGUAUUCUCUCAAGAUCCUUAAAUCCCAGUCAUCACCGCAACUCUAAGAACAAACUUUAAACCACGUUCAUCGCACAGCAAUGGCGGAUCAUGGAGCCGCUCAAUAGUUCCCGGAAGUUAGAUCUCAUACUAUCAGCGCCAUUGAGAUGCAGCAGAAGAGACCGCUUUGAUGAACUUUUAAAAGAACAAGAACCACCUGAAGACUCCCUGUAAUGAGAUGUCACCCUCACAAUGAGUCUCUUCACUGGGUUUGGCAAGUCUUUCACUGUUCUUUGUGAAAAAGUGCCAGUUCCCAUAUGAUUACAUCACAUUUUGUUGGUGUAAUCUAUAGAUUGUACCUGCUGACUAUAUCCAGCAUCUUAUGAAGACUUCAGAUGACCAGCACCUGUGAAGAGAUGACGCCAGCCCUUGAGAGGACUUCAGAUGAAGCUGUCUCUGACUCUGAAUAAACAUACAAAACUGAUCAAUUUUCCUUGCAUUGUAAUCAACAUGAUCAAAUCACGUAACCAUUGCUUUAAUUUAUUCAUUGUUUCUGAACUCAUGACAUUACUUAACUGCAUGAUUUGUAUCGCCUAAUUUUAGAACAUUUCUGUCAUAUGAGCAUUACUUUGACACAGUUACACCUGUUAACAGAACUCUUAUUUGUAAUGUAGAAACAUUCAUUUUCUGUAAAGCUGCUUUGAAACAAUGUUUGUAAUAAAAAGUGCUAUACAAAUAAAUGUGAAUUGAACAAAACUUGAUGCAUCAUUUUUUUCUCCUCUCCGUGUCAGUAAGGAAACCAUACAUUCACACUCCUUUCUGUGAGUGACAUGCAGCACAGCAAACUAUAGUGGAGACCGUUCAAGGACAACAUGCUUUAUAGCAUGUAAAUAAGUGCAUAACAAAAGUUAACAUACAUCAAAUAUAUGAUUA